AAGCUUUUAAACUCUUUAUUUUAUUGAAGAGUAAUCGAAAGUGCUUUUGUCUAGACACAAUAAAAGGUGAAACUGUAACUAACACUGAGCAGGUUUUGUACAUGCUCCACACAGCACACAUGUGCAGACACUGUAGGUGUUCCCCCAUCAACCAUUUUUGCUUACAUUAAAAGAUUUCCAGGCGUGUAGGAGUGGCACGUUGGCUGCUUGAGAGUUCAACACGACAGAGGAACAGCAAACAAAUAGUACUCUGUGAAAAAAGGCACGUACAGGCACAAGAAGAGGUAACAGCACGACGUCUAACUGCAACAUCAACGAGAAAAAAAACCACAGUGACGGCACACUUCUCAGUGUCAGAGCUAACAGGGCAGCGGUGUUUACAUCAGUGUACAAUGACAAGAGUUUUAUAGAUAGUGGUCCACUUCCAACACAUCCAUCAGGGUCAGUUUUUUAUCCUCAAUGAAUCCACCACACAUGACAUGGCAUAUCUACACAGCUCAACUUGGUCUUGCAGAAAUACAUGACAUGUCUACAAACAUCAUGUGAUUAAUGGUAGCAGUAGAAUAAAAGUCACCUUACACCUCAGAAGGGUAAGGUGGUAGAGCAGCUUGAACCCAAGACUGUCAAUGAGGAGAGCGCAGUUUGUGUCCCAUGUUGGACAGUAAUUAUUGUUUUCUUUCUCAGUCAGUGUUAUGGUUAGGGCAGCCAGACCUCACUACAGGAAAUCAGCCCUGUAUUUUAACCCAGGAGGUCAAACACUACAUUUUUGUCAAAACUUAACUCCUACCUUCUGGUGCUGGUGCCAGUUCUGUGACAGUGACUUUUAAGAACGAACCCACAUUUUCAAGAGUUUGAGAACUUAUAAUUUUAUAAGUUUAUUGGGUUAAUACUGACAGAAGUUGAGGUACUUUCCAUUGGAAGAAAAAUAAUUCUGUGGGCUGAACCUGUUAAUUAUUAUUGCCUUUCUUAUGGUAGCCCUCCCAGAGCCGCUGGCAUUAGGGGGUCCAGCUAUGGGCUCAGCAAUUGGGUGGAACUGUUCUCCUUUUGGUGGAAAUGCAUAAAAACAGAUCUAGAUUAGCCACCAGCACCAUAUCUGUGGAAAAGGAGUAACAGAUAAAACCAAGAUUGUAUUCUCAGGGCUGUGGUUUGAUAGAAAUAGUAAUAGUUACAGUGGGUGUGAAUUCUGACUCAUCACAUGUGGAUGCUUGUAAAAAACUCAUUGGGGUCAUAUUUAAAGGCUCCUCUAAGCAUUAUUUUCAAACAUGCAGAAUUAUUGAUGGGGAGCAGGAUGGAAAACUUCAACUGCCAAAUGUGGACUUUGUCACUCUUUAAGAGGAUGAGUAUAUCUUGGUGUCCAGUAUUGGUGUAACUCUGUCAAGAUAUCAUCAUCAUGUUGGAAAAAGACUUUUUAAUGGAAUUAACCAGUAAGUACAUGUAAAACUCUCUGGUAACCAUGGCAACAGGAUAGGAACUCAUUGCUUUCCACUGCUAAAGUAUGAUUUUGUGGUCAUUUCAUGUAUUUCUGUGUCCUGAAACAGCUAGUCGGACAGCAGUGGCAGCCAUUUCGACAAUAACAAGAACAAUACUGAAGGUGAUAACAAGCAGAGCCACAACGCCGACUCCAGUCACCAGAAUCAGCACCAGCAAUUUACCUGCACAGUUGUCUGGCUCGGUAAUACGUCUGUACUGCAGCUCAUAGACCAGCGUGAUCCAACCAUACUGCACAUGGGCAGGCACCGGUGAAACCGCCACCCUGCGUUGGACUCUAU